rnacentral:lncRNA from 1 species
GUUGGCUUCAAAAGGCCAUGUUAAUUGCUCCAUAAUAAAAACCGCAAAUAAAUAAAUAAAUAAAUAAAAUUAUAAAGCUGUGAUAAACCUUGAAUAGUGAUUGUUGUGUACCUUCUCCUCAGAAUAUGUUGUAAGAGUUGAUAGUGAUCACAGAAUGAUCUACCUCAUCAACUCUAAUUAAGCUCUGUGGAAUACUCAAUUAGUGGUUGUUUCAUACUAGUUUUAUAUCAGUCAUGGAAAAAACAGUGCAGCUAAACCAAUAUAAAAGUUGUGCAGCGAUGAUAAGCCAGGCUUUUCGGUCUUCUUUGUUUUCUCAAACCUUUUCAACUUCAGAUACAAUCCAAUGAUUUUAUGUGUACGCACAUUAAUUAUGCUGUGUCCAUCACUUUGUUACCUUGCUGUUAAUGUUGGCUAUGUGAACUCCCACAAGCUACAUGGCCAUCCUUUGGACCUGCUCUAAAAGGUGCAAGUCUUUCUUGUUCUGGGAACCUCAAACCUGGAUGCAGCACAUCAAGUGAAGCCUCACAAAGAAGGGGACAAUCACCUCCCUCAGCCUGCUGGCCAUGUCUUGAUGCAGCCCAGGUACAGUUGCCCCUUGGGGCUGUAACCACAUGCUGCUGGCUCAUGUUGAGCUUUUUGUCCACCAGAACCCUGAAGGUCCUUCUCCACAGUGCUGCUCUCAAUGUGUUCUUCUCCUAGUUUGUACUCAUUUCUGAUCUUUCCCCAACC